rnacentral:rRNA from 1 species
AUUGAACGCUGGCGGCAGGCCUAACACAUGCAAGUCGAACGGUAACAGGAAGCAGCUUGCUGCUUUGCUGACGAGUGGCGGACGGAUGAGUAAUGUCUGGGAAACUGCCUGAUGGAGGGGGAUAACUACUGGAAACGGUAGCUAAUACCGCAUAACGUCGCAAGACCAAAGAGGGGGACCUUAGGGCCUCUUGCCAUCGGAUGUGCCCAGAUGGGAUUAGCUAGUAGGUGGGGUAACGGCUCACCUAGGCGACGAUCCCUAGCUGGUCUGAGAGGAUGACCAGCCACACUGGAACUGAGACACGGUCCAGACUCCUACGGGAGGCAGCAGUGGGGAAUAUUGCACAAUGGGCGCAAGCCUGAUGCAGCCAUGCCGCGUGUAUGAAGAAGGCCUUCGGGUUGUAAAGUACUUUCAGCGGGGAGGAAGGGAGUAAAGUUAAUACCUUUGCUCAUUGACGUUACCCGCAGAAGAAGCACCGGCUAACUCCGUG